GACGAAGGAUGCAAGCGUUAUCCGGAUUCAUUGGGUUUAAAGGGAGCGUAGGCGGCCUUGUAAGUCAGUGGUGAAAUCUCGCAGCUUAACUGCGAAACUGCUAUUGAUACUGCAGGGCUUGAGUACAGAUGCUGUGGGCGGAAUAUGACAUGUAGUGGUGAAAUACAUAGAGAUGUCAUAGAACACCGAUUGCGAAGGCAGCUCACAAAACUGUAACUGACGCUGAGGCUCGAAAGUGUGGGGAUCAAACAGG
rnacentral:rRNA from 1 species